rnacentral:lncRNA from 1 species
UAAAUUUAUAGUCUUCCUCUUAUAACCUAUUAAAAAUUCGCAUAAAAUGUUUAAAUAUACCCAAUUGUUUUCACCUUUCGUUGUAUUCUCUCAACCAUGAAUUUUCCUUUGUUAUUCCAGUUUUUCUCCCUCUUAUUCCAUUGAAAAGUUUCUUUACGACCUUACAUCACUGCAAUUCUUUUAUCUUAAUAAAUCUCUUAAAUAAAAAGAUAACAAACGAUUCAAGAAAAUUUCUACGAAUAAACGUUCAAAUAUUUAAUCUACAUUCUUUCGAUUAUUCGGCCAGCUACUUCAAUCGCGCCUCCUUGAAAUACGAACUUGUUUGAGAACUUCCUUCAUGGAGCACGUGAUCCUCUAUUGGAUAGAUACGCCUGAUCGACAGCCUCUUUACGAGCUUACAAGCUAUCGUUUAUUCAAUGCUAUGUGAAACAGCAUAAGGAGAGAACAGUUUAAAUCAUUGGCAAAGAUACACCAGGUCGUUGCUCGAGUUUAUUGCUUCAAAAGGCCACAAAAAAAAAAUACAUAAGAAAAAAUCUUUUAUAGAAUAAUAAUUAUGACACAAUGAUUUGAGUUGAAAUUAACGAUAUGUAUAGUUAUAUUAGAUAGAAAUUAAAUGAUACAUGAUAAUGUUUUAUAAUUAUAAUUCCAAGAAAGAAAAAAAGUUAUUCUGGAUUUAAUUCGAUACUCUUUAAUUAUAAUUAAAUACUUCAAGAUUAUUAGUUUUAGAUUCUUAGAAAUUUAUUGAAAUGUGAUCUCACAAAAGUUUACAAUUGUUAAGAUAAAGUUUAUUUAAAGUAGUAACAAGAAAUAUUUUAAAUUUUGAUUAAUUUUAAAUAUUAGAUAUUAUAAACGUUCGUAUAAAUCUUCUACACAAUUUCAAAUAUGUAAUUCGUAUAAAGAAGUAUCAAACGAAUUAUACGUGUAUUAUGUGUAAAGAUUCAUAAAAAAUGAUUAAAAGUGUUAUCGUAUGGAGCGUAAUAUAUAAAUAAUACAGAUAAAAAAUAAUCACAUAAUAUCUAAAAACAAUAAGAUAAAAAGUAGGAUCAAGUAAAUAUUCAUUGAAAAUAUGUUUUUAAAUUAACUUUCAAGUAGAAAGAAAAACUCGAUUUCAUAAUUUAGACAAAAAAUUCUGUCUUAGACGACAAAUCCAAAUGUAUUACUUCGUUCUUGUACAUUUCGAUAGUCUGUAAAAAUAAAAAUACAUUUUUAUAUAUAC